UAGGGAAUCUUCCGCAAUGGGCGCAAGCCUGACGGAGCAACGCCGCGUGAGUGAUGAAGGCCUUCGGGUUGUAAAACUCUGUCUUCUGUGAAGAACAAGCCUAUGAUCAGAAUGCUUAGGCCCUGACGGUAACAGAGGAGGAAGCCCCGGCUAACUACGUGCCAGCAGCCGCGGUAAUACGUAGGGGGCAAGCGUUGUCCGGAAUCACUGGGCGUAAAGCGCGCGCAGGCGGCUAUCUACGUCCGGGGUGAAAGCCCAGAGCUCAACUCUGGGAUUGCCUUGGAUACGGGAUGGCUUGAGGAUCGGAGAGGCAAGGGGAAUUCCACGUGUAGCGGUGAAAUGCGUAGAGAUGUGGAGGAACACCUGUGGCGAAGGCGCCUUGCUGGCCGAUUUCUGACGCUGAGGCGCGAAAGCGUGGGGAGCAAACA
rnacentral:rRNA from 1 species